rnacentral:rRNA from 1 species
AGUGAACGCUGGCGGUAGGCCUAACACAUGCAAGUCGAACGGCAGCACAGUAAGAGCUUGCUCUUACGGGUGGCGAGUGGCGGACGGGUGAGGAAUACAUCGGGAUCUACUUUUUCGUGGGGGAUAACGUAGGGAAACUUACGCUAAUACCGCAUACGACCUACGGGUGAAAGCAGGGGAUCUUCGGACCUUGCGCGAUUGAAUGAGCCGAUGUCGGAUUAGCUAGUUGGCGGGAUAAAGGCCCACCAAGGCGACGAUCCGUAGCUGGUCUGAGAGGAUGAUCAGCCACACUGGAACUGAGACACGGUCCAGACUCCUACGGGAGGCAGCAGUGGGGAAUAUUGGACAAUGGGCGCAAGCCUGAUCCAGCCAUACCGCGUGGGUGAAGAAGGCCUUCGGGUUGUAAAGCCCUUUUGUUGGGAAAGAAAAGCAGCAGGUUAAUACCCCGCUGUUCUGACGGUACCCAAAGAAUAAGCACCGGCUAACUUCGUG